AUUGAACGCUGGCGGCAUGCUUUACACAUGCAAGUCGAACGGCAGCGCGGGCUUCGGCCUGGCGGCGAGUGGCGAACGGGUGAGUAAUACAUCGGAACGUGCCCAGUAGUGGGGGAUAGCUCGGCGAAAGCCGGAUUAAUACCGCAUACGACCUGAGGGUGAAAGCGGGGGAUCUUCGGACCUCGCGCUAUUGGAGCGGCCGAUGGCAGAUUAGCUAGUUGGUGGGGUAAAGGCCUACCAAGGCGACGAUCUGUAGCUGGUCUGAGAGGACGACCAGCCACACUGGGACUGAGACACGGCCCAGACUCCUACGGGAGGCAGCAGUGGGGAAUGUUGGACAAAGGGCGAAAGCCUGAUCCAGCAAUGCCGCGUGUGUGAUGAAGGCCUUCGGGUUGUAAAGCACUUUUGGCGGGAACGAAAAGGACUGUGCCAAUACCACGGUUCGAUGACGGUACCCGCAGAAUAAGCACCGGCUAACUACGUG
rnacentral:rRNA from 1 species